AGUGCCAUGCAUGAUCUGGCUUCUCUCUCCCUCCCAGCGAAAUAGGUUCGUAGAGCCGAAAGGUUGUCUGGGUUCCGGUGGGAAGUAGUUCUGGACGGCGAAGCCUUGCCGGAUAGAUGACACCGUAUGUGUGCAACCCCGUAGAGAGGUCGUAGUUUCGAUCCUUUUGCCCGAGGAGCUGUUUUGAGAGUGCCUCCCGAAGGGCUGUCCAAAUGACGGUCCGAGUUCUGUGAAUCCUCCCGAAGGGCUGUCCGAGUGACCGUCCGAGUUUUGAGGGUCCUCCCGAAGGGCUGUCCGCGACACCGUCCGAGGGACUAUCCGACCGCCUCCCGGAGGGCUGUCCGUGGGGCGGAUGAGGGUAUACAUCCUCGCGGUUGGGAGGUUGUAAAUCCUAGUUGCGGGAAUCUGCACCAUCAUUCGUCAUCGACUCUACUUCCACUGCGCUACGAGUCGGUAACGAAAAAGAUCAAACCAUCGACGACGACGACGCGCCGCCGCCGCCACCAGUCCGCCAUGGCGACGCCGGGCAGGGGUCCACCAGGGACGGCCGCGUCAAGGAGGAGAAGGCUGAUGAUGACGACGGCGGUGAGGAUGGCGGCGAUGACGGCGACUACUCCGCGUUCAACGAGUUCUUGUUUUAGAUAUAUUUGCUAUGUAUAAGCCGUGAACAUGUCUAAUAUAUGCCAAAGUUUGCCAAAA